rnacentral:misc_RNA from 1 species
AAGGAGUCUAACAUAUAUGCGAGUAUUUGGGUGUUAAACCCCAGUGCGCAAUGAAAGUGAGACGGUAGGAACUCUCGCAAGGGAGGGCACUAUCGGCCGAUCCACACUUGUGUAAGGAUUUGAGUCAGAGCAUAUCUGUUGGGACCCGAAAGAUGGUGAUCUAUGCCUGAACAGGGCGAAGCCAGGGGAAACCCUGAUGGAGGACCGUAGCGAUUCUGACGUGCAAAUCGAUCGUCGGAGCUGGGUAUAGGGGCGAAAGACUAAUCGAACCAUCUAGUAGCUGGUUCCUGU